CUUGAGUUAGCUCUGGAUAGGAACAUGAUGGUGAAAAGACUCAUCAAGAGGUCUCAGUUUUUCCAGAGGGAUUUGAUGUCUUGAUGUGGGAGAAGGGAAACAGCCCAAAGUGUUAACGAAAUUCAGCCCUGGGGCAGAGACAGUGGGAGCAGAUGUGUGAUUAUAGGAGCUGAACUCCCCUAACUGAGAAUUUCAAGCAGGCACACUCAGCUUUUCUGUACACAAAGAAACCAUUUCUGUUCCCUAACAGCCAUUUAUAAACCUACUGCCGUGCAGAUAAUCUUCCAAAGACAACAGGGUUUGACUAAAGCAUUACUUUCAUCCAUUUUACCAUAGUUUCCCCAUAACACAGAUGUGAAAUGAGCUAGGUAGCAGCAAUCUGUAUUCACAAUAAGGUGCCAACCUAAACCAUAAUGCAUUCAGUUUUUGCUUUCCUUCCCUACGACACUUUGGUGUCUUGUUUCCACCCAACUGUUUGUUGGUGGGUUUUUGUUGUUUCAUUUUUCCUUAUGCCGUUUCACCUGGGAGAUGCUCUGGGGAAGUAGCUCUCAACCUGCAUUUCACACCACAGCUGUCUCAUGGGUGUGAAUUUCAUUUUAUUUUAAGCUGGAGUGUUUGCUGCGCUCUUGGUUGGAAAGGAAAUACAACUUCGCCUGUCUUCUGGAAACAGGAUCCUUACCAAGAAGGGAAUAUCUACAAUUCCUUUCCUUUAUUUUUAUUCCCCCAGCUGUGUUGCCUGCUUGAGCAACCCGUGUGAACAGUUUUCCUCACCCUCCCAGAGAGCAUCUGGAUGCUGCUGGAGUGGCAAGCCUUAAAUAUUGAGCACACCAGUUUAUACGGCUGUUUUCUUGUGAUUGCCCUUAAGCUUACAGGCUUUUUAGAAGGGAAGGAUCUUCACAGGAGCUGGCAGUGCUGGCCUCGGGGCAAGCAACUGGACUCCAUGAGGCAGCAGAGAUCCAGUGAUUAGCCCAGUCCUUCAGCCCCAUGACUAUGGUUGUGACUGUCCUCAGGGGCCUGCCAACAGGGCUUUGCAAUUCUGCAGACUCUACAUGGGCUUGAAAGCUGAGCAAGAUUUGUAGCUUGCACCAAAUGCAAGACAACGUCUGUGAGGGUACUUGCAGGUAAAUGUGUGUAUAAGGCUCCUGAGACAGAACCAAAAGGGAGUUAUUUUUCCAUGUAGCCUACAUUGCUUUUUCAUACCCAAGGCCUAACACUUGGAAAACUCAUUCUGUAAGCUGCUUUCUGUGAAGGCAGGUAUCACACAGCAUUUUAUACAGAGCUGGGCAAAAUUAUCUUUAAGGAUUGGGUCACUAUGGUAACCGUUUUUAUCUCAGAAUCAAAAAGUGGUUAUGAUUGUAAUUAAAAAUGUAUGCUUUCUACCAAGAAUUAUUGUGAAUUAUAAUUCAUCUUCUGUUGCAUACUAGAGUUAUUU